AAACAAAGCAAGGUCUCUGUCCUUCUAAUGGUGCCUAGAAUUUCAGGCAUUUGCUUCAUUCAUUCAUUCAUUCAUUCAUUCAUUUAAUAAAUAUUUAUAAAACAUCUUCCAUGUGCCAGGCACGGUUUCAGGAUUUGGAAGUUCAGUAGAAAGCAGGCCGGGUGCGGUGGCUCACACCUGUAAUCCCAGCACUUUCAGAGGCUGAGGUAGGCGGAUCACCUGAGGUCAGGAGUUCGAGACCGGCCUGGCCAACAUGGUGAAACUCCAUCUCUACUAAAAAUACAAAAAAAUUAGCCAGGUGUGGUGGCACAUGCCUGUAAUCCCAGCUACUUAGGAGGCUGAGGCAGGAGAAUUGCUUGAACCCAGGAGGUGGAGGUUGCAGUGAGCCAAGAUGGCGCCUCUGCACUCCAACCUGGGUGAUGAAGCCAGACUCCAUCUCAAAAAAGAAAGAAAAGAAAACAGAGCAAAGUUCUACCUGCGCAGUGCUAAAGAGCCUGCCAGAAUUGGGGGGAAGUGCGUUCCCUGUUGAAGGAACAGCAGCCGAGUGUUUGGAAAGAGUGAGGAGGCCCAAGUGGCUGGAGUGAGAAAGAGAAAAAGGGAAGGAGAUGAGGCUGGAGAAAUGCCCGGGGACUGGGCCCUGCAGAGUCUCAUAGACUGGGUUUAAGUUCUCAUAGACUGCCAUGGAGGGUCUUCAGCAGCAGUGUGGAAGGAUCCAUUGACAUUUCACAGGAUCCCUCUGGCUGCUAUGUGGGGGUCUGACUGAGGGCCAAGAGCUGAAGCGGGGAUCCGCUGGGAGGGCCUCUCAGAACCCAGGCUAAGGAUGGCAGUGAUGGGACCGUGUGGAGGGA
rnacentral:lncRNA from 1 species